rnacentral:lncRNA from 1 species
UUCCCGGCAGUCUGUAAAGAAACCAAAAAAAGGGAAAAGGGGGUCUCUUUUCUCUGGAUGAAAUCCAGAUUCCGGCCAAAGGGCCGCCUUGUCUCCGCCGCACCGGCCGACGUAGCCGAGGCCAGAAAGUUCAAAGGUGAGUUUUUUUAUUUUUAUUUUUUUGUGUAUGUAUAUAUAUAAACUGUUCUUUUUUUAAAAAAAAUGUAGAUAUAUGUAUGUCGAAAGAAGAAAAGAAAAAACUCAAAAAAAAAACACAAGUAAAAUAGAACAGACGAAAAAAAGAAAAGAGCAGAAACGAGAAAAAAAAACUACCUUUAAAUUUUUUUUUGAUUGCCGUGUGAAAAAAAAAACUACAAAACUGUUUCAGGCUUUUAAAAAAUAGAGAGAUUGAAUUCUUUAAAAUAAAAAUUAAGUAUUAAAUUUUAAAUAUACAAAAAGUAAAUAAAUAUGAUAUCCUUUAAAUUUAUUCUUUUAAAAAUUGGGGAUUAAAUUUAAAAAGUACGUAUUAUAUUAUAUUUGAUCUUAAUCCUUCCUCACAUGGAUACAAAUGCAAAUAAGUAAAUUUUCCUAAAUUCCAUAUAAUUAUUAUAACCUAUCAAAUGCUUACCUUUUAUGCUUCUUUGCUUCCUGGUUAAGGUUUGGACCAUAGAUGACACCUACCAACUCCCAUUUUAUUCAUUCCUCUUACCCAAUUACAAAGAAAAUCAAAAUAGCAAGAUGCAGAGGCCAAGGUUUGAAUUGCCAGAAGCUUUGGUUAUGGAAAUUCUGUCAAAGCUUCCAGUUAAAUCCCUUACUCGCUUCAACUGUGUUUGUAAGUAUUGGUGUUCUUCUUUUCAAACUCCUCAUUUCAUUUCCAAUAAUUAUCACAACAACCUUGAAAACAACAACCUUAAUCUACUGCUUAGUCGCUGUGAUGGUAACACCUUCCAACGUUAUUUCUCUCAACUUUCAAAUGAAAAAGAUCAAAAUUAUAUAGUAAAACAAAACAUUCACUUGCCCUUUUUUAGGAAUGAUCUCCCCUAUGUUUAUGGUGCUUGUCAUGGAUUAUUGUGUUUACUUGAUCCUUUAAAGGAUAAGGCUGCCAUUUGGAACCCAUCAACCAGAGAGUUUAAAAUCCUUCCACCAUCUUCAAUCCAACGCCCUCCAUAUUUUUCCCCAUUCGAAGAAACCUACCUUACUUUAGAUGACGUUGAUUUUGACCACGCUGCUUUUGGGUUUGACUCUAAAACUGAUGACUACAAAGUCAUACGAUUUGUUACUCUUACUUUUGUUAAUAGUGAAGAACAAUAUCCACAUCCUCAUUUUAUGUACCAAGUUGAGUUGUAUUCUCUUAGAAGUAAUUCCUGGCAGGAAAUUCCAUGUCCUGAUUAUAAACCAACUGGAACAACUUUGGGAAAUAAUUAUGUAGACGGAAUUUGCUAUUGGAAAACAGAGACAGGGGCAUAUCUUGAUUUUAGAGGACUAAUUCUUUCAUUUGACAUGGGGAAUGAGAAGUUCUCAAUUUUACCUAUCCCAGAAUUCGUUGGGUCUUUCCCAGAAUACUUUGUUAAUCUAUUGGUGUUUAAUGGAUCACUUGGUGCUAUUGUUUACCCAACGGAAGGAAUUGACACGUCUUUUGAUUUAUGGGUUACAAGUGAAGGAGUGUGGACUAAACAAUUCAAUAUUAAAUCCAUUUCUGGAGUUGUACGCCCAUUGGGAUUUGGAAAAAAUGGUGACUUGUUUCUUAGAGACACAAAUGAUGAAGUACUCCUAUUUGACGCCUCCACCCAAGAGCUUAAGGAGCUUCAGAUUAAUACUUAUCUAGAUCAUUUUCGGUUCACCAUCUCCCUUCAUGCUUAUUUAGAGAGCCUGGUUCGUAUCAAUGGAAUACAAGAGAAUAUUGAGAAACAUGUAAUACGUCAACCAGCGAGAGAUGCAUCAAAUGAAUACUAAAUAUGAAGAAGGCAUGAAAUGGAUACUGAAUAUGAAGAGGGAUGCGGAGCUAGAACAUAUAUGUGUAAGAUGUAAUAGGAAUUUUUUGUUGUGAGCUUCUUAAUAUUGCUGUUAUUGUUUGGGUUAUAUGUUUGAGAUGUUAACUAUUUCCUGGUUUCUGUAUUUGGAGAAUUGUUCAGUUUAUAUUUGGUUUUUGUUGGUUAGAUAUCUAUAAGAUUGCUUAGAUGUUGAUAUUGUUUUCUGCGGAAAAAAAUUGCAAGUCGAAGAGGAUUUGAUGUUUAAGGUUGUCAUUAACUAAUUAAAAUAAUUGCUGUAAGUGGCAUAAUUUUUAUAACUUAAUCCAAAACAGGUCUCACCUGAUGGUUAAGAUUCUUAAACAGAUGAAGAUCCGAUGAACACCACAACACAGCACGAGCAUCGAAUCAGCCACAAAUCCAUGUUGCCAUGAUCCCAUUUCGUUCGAGUGAGUGAAAUUAUGGUACUUUUUUCAAGUUACCUUGUGUUACAAGCUUGUGUGUUAAUUGCUUUAACUACUAUAAAAUUCAAUCUGCAUUCACUUUCAAAAGAAAAUCCUCUCUAUUCUGAAUGAUGGUUUGAGUUUUGCCAUCCCUAAAUAAUAGGGAUGAUAUCUUAAAGAUCAAAUAUGAUUUGAGAAAACUAGCUACACUUGGAUUUCAUUUCUCACUCCAGCAUACGAGUUUGCAAAAUAGCACAGAGACAGUCUGGAUUGCUAAGCUUUUUCUCUAUUAUAG